rnacentral:rRNA from 1 species
CUAUCCAUGGCCAGGUUGAAGGUGUGGUAACACACACUGGAGGACCGAACCGACUAGUGUUGCAAAAUUAGCGGAUGAGCUGUGGAUAGGGGUGAAAGGCCAAACAAAUCUGGAGAUAGCUGGUUCUCCCCGAAAACUAUUGAGGUAGUGCCUCGUGUGUCGCUCCAGGGGGUAGAGCACUGUUUUGGCUAGGGGGACAUGGAGUCUUACCAAACCAAGGCAAACUCCGAAUACCUGGAAGCGUGAGCACGGGAGACAGAGCACCGGGUGCUAACGUCCGGACUCAAAAGGGAAACAACCCAGACCGCCGGCUAAGGUCCCCAAUAACAGCUAAGUGGAAAACGAAGUGGAAAGGCCGUGACAACCAGGAAGUUGGCUUAGAAGCAGCCAUCCUUCAAAGAAAGCGUAAUAGCUCACUGGUCGAGUCCUUCUGCGCGGAAGAUGUAACGGGGCUAAGCUGUUAACCGAAGCCGCGGAUGCACUGAUUAUUCAGUGCGUGGUAGGGGAGCGUUCUGUAAGUCUGCGAAGGCGGUUCGAGAGGACUGCUGGAGAUAUCAGAAGUGCGAAUGCUGACAUGAGUAACGUUAAAGCAGGUGAAAAGCCUGCUCGCCGUAAGCCCAAGGAUUCCUGCUCUACGUUCAUCGGAGCAGGGUGAGUCGGCUCCUAAGGUCAGGCCGAAAGGCGUAGCCGAUGGGAAUCAGGUUAAUAUUCCUGAACCUGCGUCAGAUGCGAUGGGGGGACGGAGCAUGAAAGAUCAUCCGGGUGUUGGAUGUCCCGGUUGACGAGCGUAGGAGGUCUGCAGGCAAAUCCGCAGACGCAUCUCCAAGGCGAAGUCACGUGCCGCCACGGCGGCGAAGUGAUCGGAAGUGCUUCCAAGAAAAGCCUCUAAGCACCAGUCUGACGCGGACCGUACCGCAAACCGACACUGGUGGGCGAGCUGAAUAUGCUCAGGCGCUUGAGAGAACUCGGGAGAAGGAACUCGGCAAAUUGACACCGUAACUUCGGAAGAAGGUGUGCCGUAGUACCGUGAGAGGAGAGACACCUUGAGCGGGAAUCGGUCUCAGAGAAUAGGUGGCUGCGACUGUUUAUUAAAAACACAGCACUCUGCAAAGUCGAAAGACGACGUAUAGGGUGUGAUGCCUGCCCGGUGCUGGAAGAUUAAUUGAUGGGGUGAGAGCCCUUGAUCGAAGCCCCAGUAAACGGCGGCCGUAACUAUAACGGUCCUAAGGUAGCGAAAUUCCUUGUCGGGUAAGUUCCGACCUGCACGAAUGGCAUAACGAUGGCCACACUGUCUCCUCCCGAGACUCAGUGAAGUUGAAAUGUUUGUGAUGAUGCAAUCUACCCGCGGCUAGACGGAAAGACCCCAUGAACCUUUACUGCAGCUUUGCAUUGAACUGUGAACCGAUUUGUGUAGGAUAGGUGGGAGGCAGAGAAGAGGCCACGCCAGUGGUCUUGGAGCCGACCUUGAAAUACCACCCUGAUUUGUUUGCGGUUCUAACCACGGACAGUGAUCCUGUCUUGGGACCGUGCAUGGUAGGCAGUUUGACUGGGGCGGUCUCCUCCUAAAGGGUAACGGAGGAGUACGAAGGUACGCUAGGUACGGUCGGAAAUCGUGCUGAUAGUGCAAUGGCAAAAGCGUGCUUGACUGCGAGAGCAACAACUCGAGCAGAUGCGAAAGCAGGUCAUAGUGAUCCGGUGGCUCUGAAUGGAAGGGCCAUCGCUCAACGGAUAAAAGGUACUCUGGGGAUAACAGGCUGAUACCGCCCAAGAGUUCAUAUCGACGGCGGUGUUUGGCACCUCGAUGUCGGCUCAUCUCAUCCUGGGGCUGUAGUCGGUCCCAAGGGUAUGGCUGUUCGCCAUUUAAAGAGGUACGUGAGCUGGGUUUAAAACGUCGUGAGACAGUUU